rnacentral:misc_RNA from 1 species
AAGAAUGUUGUGUUUUCAGUAACGAUACACGUCGGGGCUUGGGAUAUAUUUUAUUUGGGGGGAACUGUGUUGUGGACUAGUAUUCUGUGACUUGCUUCCGAGGACAGUGUUUCCAAGAAUGAAACUUCGUGACUCGUAAACUCUCUGUUUAUCUUCUGCCAGAACCGUGGCAUUGUUAUCAGUAAGGAAACACACAACCAUGUGUUCGGUAUGUCAGAGGAGGGGAGUGUAUGAACAUUAUAGAAAUUUUAUUGCCGUUUUUACUAACAACCUAAUCUGACUUCUAAUGGACUUGUAACGCCAAUCUGUGGGGAUAAUUUCACUGAGACAACUCCGUAAUGAUGGAAUUCAGAGACAAACUUCUCUAUAUAACUGUGCUCGUGUGUCUAUUUGUACUAACCCCUUCCAAGGGGACAGAGAUUGUCAGGAAAUGUGACCCUAUCCGGAUAGAGAUGUGUAAGGGUCUGGGAUAUAAUGUAACGGGUAUGCCGAAUCUGGUUGGGCACGACCUUCAGCAGGAUGCUGAGCUCCAACUCCAGACCUUCACCCCUCUAAUUCAGUAUGGCUGCUCGCAGCAGUUGAAGUUUUUCUUGUGUUCAGUGUAUGUACCAAUGUGUACCGAGAAAGUGAUGGAGCCCAUUGGGCCCUGCAGGCCCAUGUGUCUUAGCGUACAGAGGCGCUGUCAACCCGUCCUUCACGAGUUUGGCUUCCCUUGGCCGGUUGCUCUCAACUGUUCCAAGUUUCCACCCAAAAAUGACCAGCACCACAUGUGCAUGGACGGGCCCGGGGAGAGUGCAGUUGAGGACAACGUCAGAAAACCGACUUUCAGGCCACCCGUACACAAGAAGGAGCACCAGUGUGGGGAAUUUCGACACUACCACAUGUAUACCUAUAUCAACCGUACGGGCUAGGUGCGCGUUAAAGUGUAACGAAAACGCGGCUUUCACGACCGAAGACAAGUACUUUUGCAGACAUUUGGAUGUCCAUUUGGUCGGGCCUGUGCUUUGUGUCCACGUUGUUAACCAUUCUCACGUUCGUCAUCGACUCUCAGAGGUUCAAGUACCCCGAGCGUCCCAUCAUUUUCCUGUCCAUGUGCUACAACAUUUACAGUAUUGCUUACAUCGUCCGUCUGAUUGCGGGGAGGGAGUCCAUCGCUUGUGACCGAGACACGGCCAGCAAGACCUCCAUCCUAAUCCAGGAGGGUCUUAGAAAACACCGACUGUGCCAUCGUCUUUCUCCUGCUAUACUACUUCGGGUCCGCAGCUGCCCUGUGGUGGGUCAUUUUGACUUUGACCUGGUUUCUGUCGGCGGGGCUGAAAUGGACCCACGAGGCCAUUCAGCUCCACAGCAGCUACUUCCAUCUAGCGGCCUGGGCGCUGCCCGCGAUUGAGACCAUCAUCAUUCUUGUCAUGAGGGAAGUAGACGCUGACGAGCUGACGGGGAUAUGUUAUGUAGGAAACCAAAACUACACAGACAUUACUGGGGUUCUCUGUGGCCCCUUCAUUAGUCUACCUCGUCGUCGGCUGUCGCUUUCCUCAUCGCCGGGUUCAUAGCUUUAUUAAGGGUCCAAUCCCAGGACCGUGUGAACGGGGUGAAAUCCGCGAAAAUUGAAAACCUGAUGAUCCGGGUGGGAAUUUUCAGUCUACUUUACACUAUCCCUGCCGCAAUAGUCAUAGCGUGCUUAUUAUAUGAAUAUGCGAGCAGAGACUCGUGGUAUCUAAGAGAUACUAUCCAUAGUGAACCAAAGAUGGAAAUCUUCAUGUUGAAGGUUUUUAUGACACUUGUGGUGGGGAUCACCAGUGGUAUGUGGAUCUGGUCGUCUAAGACCAUCAAUUCGUGGAGAAAUUUCGCGGUUAAAUUAACUUUCCAAAAUAGCAAACGCGAAGUUCGAAAGACAAUUGAAUAUGGCGUUCCUACCCAUCAAUCCCAUCAAUACCACCCCGUGCCAGUCAAACACGUCAGUAGGGUGGUCCGGAAUGAGAAAUCCAAACCUAAACGGACAAAAACGGACGGUCAAAUUGUCGUCUGAUUUCAUGUGUUAUCCAUCAUUACUUCACGGCUGGGUAUUAUUGUUUUUACAUUAAUCAAUGGAUUAUUUGUUUGUUUGAGUGAAUAAUGAGAAAAUGCAGUGAGCAAAGAAAUACUCAAAUUGCUAGUUGUGCGUGGAAAAUGUGCUUAAUGAAUGUGUUUGUUUUUCAAAAGUGAACUUGAAGCCAUUAGAAAAAAACGAGAAUAUUUCCUUACGUAUUAUGCGAUAUUGCAUGUUUUGUUUUUCUGAAAAAAAUGAAGAAAAAUUAUCGU